rnacentral:rRNA from 1 species
UACGGGGGGGGCAAGCGUUGUUCGGAAUUACUGGGCGUAAAGGGCUCGUAGGCGGCCAACUAAGUCGGAUGUGAAAUCCCCAGGCUUAACCUGGGAACUGCAUCCGAUACUGGAUGGCUUGAAUCCGGGAGAGGGAUGCGGAAUUCCAGGUGUAGCGGUGAAAUGCGUAGAUAUCUGGAGGAACACCGGUGGCGAAGGCAGCAUCCUGGACCGGCAUUGACACUGAGGAGCGAAAGCCAGGGGAGCAAACAGG